rnacentral:rRNA from 1 species
UACGAAGGGGGCUAGCGUUGUUCGGAAUUACUGGGCGUAAAGCGCGCGCAGGCGGUUCUUCAAGUCAGUGGUGAAAGCCCGGAGCCUCGAACUCCGGAACUGCCAAUUGAAACUGUAAGAACUUGAGGUGAGAGAGGUGAGUGGAAUUCCCGAACGUGUAGAGGUGAAAUUCGUAGAUAUUCGCAAGAACACCAGUGGCGAAGGCGGCUCACUGGCCCGGUACUGACGCUGAGGUGCGAAAGCGUGGGGAGCAAACAGG